AAGCUUAAGCCUAAGCCUAAGCCUAAGCCUAAGCCUAAGCCUAAGCCUAAGCCUAAGCCUAAGCCUAAGCCUAAGCCUAAGCCUAAGCCUAAAGCUAAGCUUAAGACUAAG
ensembl:ncRNA R06C1.10 ncRNA